CCUACGGGAGGCAGCAGUGGGGAAUAUUGCGCAAUGGGCGAAAGCCUGACGCAGCAACGCCGCGUAAGGGAUGACGGCCUUCGGGUUGUAAACCUCUUUCAGCAGGGAAGAAGCGAAAGUGACGGUACCUGCAGAAGAAGCACCGGCUAACUACGUGCCAGCAGCCGCGGUAAUACGUAGGGUGCAAGCGUUGUCCGGAUUUAUUGGGCGUAAAGAGCUCGUAGGCGGUUAGUCACGUCGGAUGUGAAAUCCCGGAGCUUAACUCCGGGCCUGCAUUCGAUACGGGCUGACUCGAGUAUUGUAGGGGAGACUGGAACUCCUGGUGUAGCGGUGAAAUGCGCAGAUAUCAGGAAGAACACCGGUGGCGAAGGCGGGUCUCUGGGCAAUUACUGACGCUGAGGAGCGAAAGCGUGGGGAGCAAACAGGAUUAGAUACCCUGGUAGUCCACGCCGUAAACGGUGGCGCUAGGUGUGGGGACCCUUCCACGGUCUCCGUGCCGCAGCUACGCAUAGCGCCCGCCGCGGAGUACGGCCGCGAGACGUAAACGACGAAGAAGUAGUAACGGUCGUGAGACGUGCCGACGGACGACGACGAGGGAGGAGG
rnacentral:rRNA from 1 species